rnacentral:lncRNA from 1 species
GAUCUCUUCCGUAUCUCCUCCUGAUGGUGCUCCUCCUCCUUCUUCUUACAAUAGCGUGCCGCCGCCUAUGGAUGAUUUUCAGUUGGCUAAGCAAAAGGCUCAGGAGAUUGCUGCUCGGCUCUUAAAUAGUGCUGAAGCUAAAAAGCCUAGAGUUGAUAAUAAUGGUUCUGGUGCUGGUGCCGGUGGAUUUGAUUCAUAUGAACGUAAGGGUAUACUUGUCUUUUUUACUGUUAUUGAUUUUGUGUUUGCCUAGUUUGUGCGUUUUGUAAGAUGAUUUUUGAAGUAACAGAUAAUUUCUCUUACUGAAAUAGAAAAAUUCAGUUUUCUACUGCUCAUUGUACUGUUAUCAUACGUUCUUAGUACUGAUGCGAUUAGUUAGCAAGGUUAGUAGGGUUUUAGAUGUAACCUCCUUGUUUAAGUGUAUAUCUUCAAUAUGAUUAUUGAUUGUUGAACAUCAACUCUGUUAUCACUAGAGAAUACAUAGGGAGGAAAUUUUUUUCUUACUUAAAUUAUUUUUCAUUGAAAAUAUAUAGGGGGAAAGGUAGUUUAGUGACUUUAUUAUAAUAAAAUAAAAAUUGAGUGACCAUCCAUGAAAUUACUGUUUUGCUCAUUGUACUAUUAUCAUUUCCCACUUUAUACCCAACCAAACACCUGGACAACAAGAUACUCCCUCUGGUCCAGUUUUAUGUGAAGCUGACUUUAAGAAAGUUCCAAAGAUUUUUGAAGCUUGUGAUCUAAAACAAGUCUUAGGAAUCUGUGUGGCUAUAAAUCAUCCAUUAAGGGUAAACGGGGAAUUUUAAGGUUAGAUUGUUUUAAAUAUAAAAAUAUGUCAUUGUUUUCCUGGAAAACAUAUUUGUUCAUACCAAAAUAGUGUUUUUAUUGGUUACCACUGAUGUGAUUAGUUUUGUAGGUAGUAUGGCUUUUGCUUUAAUCUACUGGUUUUAGGGUAUAGUUUUAAUAUGUUUAUUGAUGAUCAUUUUGAUAGUCUAUUAUAAUAUCUUGUAGAGUUGUUGGCUAUAAACCAUCUGAAUGGUGAAUUUUAAAGUUAGUUUGUUUUUAAAUAUAAAAACUUGUCAUUCUUUUGGGGAUAGACCGAAAAGGGAAAAGUAUCACAUAAAUUGGUACAGAGGGGUAUUUUUCAUGGAAAACAUAUUUGUCCAUACCAAAACAAUGUUUUUAUUGGCUACCACUGAUGUGAUUAGUUUUCUAGGUAGUACAGCUUGUGUUUUAACCUACUUGUUUUAGUGUAUAUUUUUAUAUGCUUAAUGUUGAUCAUGUUGAUAGAGUGUCAGGUCUAUCAUAAGAUCUUGUAGAGUUGUUAGACGUUUUGUUUUUUCUUGCGAGUGCAGACAAGCCGAUCGUUACUCCUUCGGUGACAAGUUCAUAUGGUUAUCCGGGGCAAAGCAAGAAGAUUGAAAUACCAAAUGGCAGAGUUGGUGUAAUUAUAGGCAAAGGUGGGGAGACUAUCAAGUAUCUUCAACUCCAGUCUGGAGCCAAGAUUCAGGUUACUAGAGACAUGGAUGCUGAUCCGAAUUCUCCAAAUAGAGCCGUUGAACUCAUGGGUACUCCAGACCAAAUAGCUAAAGCUGAGCAGUUAAUUACUGAGGUUCUUUCUGAGGUAGUACUAAUCUGUCUUACUAUACAUUGUCAAGUCUAGUAAUUCUUUUUGUUGAAUCAUAUCAAGUUUGCUUAUGCUUUUGACUAUUAUAUUUUCUGUCCUCGGUGUGUUACUUAUGAUUUAUGUAUUUGAAAUAGGCCGAUUCAGGUGGUUCUGGUCUAGUUAACCGGAGGUUACCUGGACAGCAAUCUGGAGGAGAACAAUUUUCGAUGAAAGUCCCUAACAACAAGGUGAGUUUUAGUGUUGUAGUUCGUUCAUCUUGCGGUCAGCUUUCUACUACUUGUCUCAUGUCUAUUUAUAUCUAUUUUAGGUUGGUCUUGUUAUUGGUAAAGGAGGUGAAACCAUAAAAAAUAUGCAAGCAAGAACGGGAGCUCGUAUUCAGGUAACUUUUAAUAGCUUUCCCAAAAUAGAGCUGCAGUUUUUGGUGGCAAUAGUGUUUUUUGUUGUAUGAAGAAUUCCAGUCCUUUACUUUCUAAAACAACGACCCAGUAAAAACCUUUGCUUUCUAAAAAAAAGCAUUUAUUUAUCGAGAUUUUACUUUAGCUUUCUUACCUUUCCUACCUUGUCACAGGUGAUUCCUUUGCACUUGCCUCCUGGUGAUACCUCACAAGAGAGGACAGUACAAAUUGAUGGGUCAAGUGAACAGAUUGAGGCUGCAAAGCAGCUGGUGUAUGAAGUGAUUAGUGAGGUAUGUGUAACUGGAUUGAUAUUCUUCAGUUUCUAUUCUUUCCACUUAUUAUCGUGAGAAUAUGAUAGGCAGAUGACUUUGGCGUCGAGAUGAUACAUAACCUCCUUUAAAUGUUAGAAGUAUUUAUGUUUGUAUAUUAUUUGGUGACGUAUAUCUGUAGUUUGUUAAUGUGUAUGUGGAUUUUGCAUUGUGGAAGACACUGCACUUGAUUUCUUUAGUCUUCUAAGAGCUGCUUUUGUAGUUCUCUUGAUCCCGAGUUUUUAAAUUCCUCUAUCAACAUCUUGAAAAGGCAAUAUAAUAUUAAUUUUCUCAGCAGUGGUGGAUUUCCCGACACAUCAAAAUUACAGAUUGCAUUUGUUGCUAGAGAAUCAUGAAUAACCAAUUGAGUGAUCCUAAAUCCAAAUUUAUCGGGAUGGUCAUUAUUUAUGUCUAAAAGUUUCAUGUAUGUAUAUUGCUGUUUAUUACCUAUCCGUCCUUGUCUCGCUGGAAAUUCAUAGUGUUUGCAGAUAUCAUUUUGCCAGUCUACUUUUUGGACUACAACUUCAGUUAGUGGGAAUUGUAGUUCAUUUCCAAUGAUCCCUGGACGAAGGAGAUUGGCUCUUGCUGUGCUUCAUUUUUGGAAGGAAGUACUCUUAUUCCUAACUGGACAUAUGCUUUCUAGUUUCAAAUAGGUCCUUGAGAGUAUGUUACUCCACCCUGAAAUAUAACUCCAUUAUAUUAUGGAUGAAUAGUUUGUUAUCCACAGAAUAUAUCUGUAGUGUGACAGCACCUAUCUGUGUCUCCAUUUUUUCCCAUUGGUUUAUUCUAAUUAGUUGGAUGUUGCUUGAGCAAGAGAAUGGGUUUCUAUCCGAAGGCAAUAUCAGGUUUAAGAUGGCAUAUCGAAAACUAUAGUCAUGCCUCAAUGUCUAUUGAAUUAUAUAUCGCUGGACUUUAGAUGUUUGGCUUUUUUUUUGAGGCGCAGGUUUUGGAGAAGUCUUUUUCCUUGAAGGUAACGAAGUCUGUAAAAAUUUCCCUAAUAUUGAGCGUCUAUUCUAAUCUCAGCUGUGCAACAACUCUCGGUCUGAAUUCUUAGUUAAUUCAGGGGACACCAUAUAACUAUGCUGGUUAAUUUUAUAUCUGAUCACUGAUAUUGUUAUUGAAAAAUUUGUAGGAUUAGUAGUUAUCGGACAAUGGUGACACCACCAUGAAACCAUUUAGUGUUGGUGUUCCCUCAACAUUGUUCUGGUAUGGUCUCCAACCUGAUUAUUGAUAACUUUAGUCAUAUUCUGGAGUAAAUGAGAGGCUGCUUUUGCUAGGAUGCAAGGGAGUAGACUAAGAUAUGUUGAGAUUAUCAUUAUAUCUUCUGGUUGUGUAACUUGAGAUAUUUUAUGAAUUUACCACAUAGAAGUGUUGCAAGAAACAGUAUUCGGUGUUAUUAUCUAUUGUUUAUGUUGGUAUUCAACCAGAGGACAACUUUAUUGUGCCUUAGGAUUUCUAGUGCUUUGCUUGGUUUCUUUUGAAGAAGAAAAAUCCAUCUAUUGUGUAAUUAUUGAUUAGCUGCUAGUAUCUGAUUUUGUUUGUUAUCUCCAUAAACCUUUGGCUAAUUAUUGGCUAUGAAGAUCAAACUCUCUGAGAUUAGGAGUGCUGAAAGGACUAUUAGUAUAUUAGAUCAUGUGUUCCUUGAUUGCUAGCAGUACUAUUAGAUUCUGCUUUGUUGUCUUAGUAAGACAUGUCUCAUUGUUGAAAAAUGAGUGAACUGUUGCCCUUCAUGUAUGAUGAAUCAUGUAGGAAUUUGUUUCCUGACGGUGUUAUGAAAUGACAUCAAUUGUCACUCUGUCUGGCUUUUUAUGUUUUUGGUGUACACUUGUUUUCACCUUUCAGUAUAUAUGUGAAGCCAAUGCAAGGAGUGAGGGUUCGUCUUGGAACUGCAAGAUUUGGUGCUGCUGCUGUGCAAAAACACAUUUAUUCUUUAUUCUUGAUAUUGUAGUUCAUGGCUUGUCUAAUUUGUGUAUCAUUUUAGAACUUUAAAAGGUUCUCAUUAAGGGUAACAUGAAUAGUUUAAAGUUGAAUUAUUUCCAAUUGUAGAAAUGCAUCACUCUUUUUGGAAUGGACUAAUAAGGAAAGUGUGUCAUCUAAAUUGAAACGGAGGGAGUAUUAAAAUGGAGUUGGUAUAUAAAUUUGGAUACUCCUUGUCAAUAUAAUAUAUAAUUUGAAUACUCUGCUGAUGACAUAAUGAACAGACUCAUCUUUUAGUAUUGGCAAGUCACCCAGGCUUUUAAUGCUAUAUUCUUCAAAAAUAGUGGUAUCUUGCCAUCUUAAGAGUUAUUUUGCCUACAUAUAGAAUGUGUAUACUUUUUUCUCUCUGCUUUGGUAUCCUUCACUUCAAAUAGGGUGAGGAUGGGCAUCUGCCAGGAGUUUGUACCUCCCAACCAGUAAGUCUACAUCUGUCUUGAUGCAUACAUAAUAUCAAUUGUUAAAUGUUGUGGUAUUUGGUAUUUGCUACUGUUUUAUCUGCUAUGUUUAUGUUACCUGGCUGUGAGUUACCUACUUACGUUAAUAUGUGAAUUAUCUUUAUAUGCCAAGAUCAAUCAUUUUUGGUUAAUUUAGACAGUAAUUCUUGUGCAGAAUCGUGCUAGGAAUCCAGGAAUGGGUGGAGGAUAUCAACAAGGUUAUCAGGCUCGACCUCCUACAAGCUGGGCCCCUCCUGGUGCCCCAAUGCAGCAACCUGGCUAUGGAUAUGUUCAGCCUGGCGCAUACCCUGGUCCAUCCCCCCAAUAUAACACAUCUCAACAACCUUACCCUGGCUACCCUCCUCAACCUGCCUCUGCUGGAUAUGCCUCUGGCUGGGAUCAGACUGCUGCCCAAAAUCAACAAUCUCAGGGAGUUGGUUAUGAUUACUACAACCAGCAGGCCCCACCACAGCAGCAACAAACUCCUGGAGGCACAGCUGCUUCAACUGAUAAUAGUGCCUAUGGUUACAACCAGCAAUCAGCCUCGGGUUACAGCCAAGGACAAGCUUAUUCCCAAGAUGGCUAUGGUGGAUAUCAUGCACCUGCACCUCAAUCUGGUUAUCAGGGCACUGGUUAUGAGCAGCAACAGGGUUAUAGCUCUGCAGCUGGUUAUGGGAAUGCCUCAAACCCAACAUCAGAUGGCCAGAAUUCUUCAUAUGGUACACAAGGCGAUGGGAGUCAAGCACCUCCACCAGUUCAGUCAUCAGCCACGGGCCAACAAGGUAGUUACCCAUCUCAGGGCUCUACUCAGGCAGGCUAUGGGAUGCCACCAACUUCUCAAGGUUGGUAUGGGACACCGCCACCUGCAGGCUAUGCUGCGAGCUAUGGGGCCCCACAGACUCAAAAGCCUUCUCCUAGUCAGCCAGCUUAUGGUCAGCCACAGCAGUCUCCUAGCGCGCAAGGUGGUUAUGCCCAGCCUCCCCCAGCACAGCCUGGGUAUCCACAACCAGCUGCUCAAUCAGGCUAUGCUCAGCCUGAUUCUGGCACUCAGCGACCUCCUGCUUCUGGCUAUGGUGCUCCAACAGCUCAGCCUGGUUAUGGUGCCCCACCUUAUGGGGCUCCACCUAGUUAUGGCC